rnacentral:tRNA from 1 species
AAAAAUUUAGUUAAAAUAUAACAUUAGUUUGUCAAGCUAAAAUUAUCUGUAGAUAAUUUUUA